rnacentral:rRNA from 1 species
AUUGAACGCUGGCGGCAGGCCUAACACAUGCAAGUCGAACGAGUGGCGGACGGGUGAGUUAUGUCUGGGAAACUGCCCGAUGGAGGGGGAUAACUACUGGAAACGGUAGAUAAUACCGCAUACCCUCGUAUGUCCCCAGAUGGGAUUAGCUUGUAGGUGGGGUAACGGCUCACCUAGGCGACGAUCCCUAGCUGGUCUGAGAGGAUGACCAGCCACACUGGAACUGAGACACGGUCCAGACGCCUACGGGAGGCAGCAGUGGGGAAUAUUGCACAAUGGGCGCAAGCCUGAUGCAGCCAGGCCGCGUGUAUGAAGAAGGCCUUCGGGUUGUAAAGUACUUUCAGCGAGGAGGCGUUACUCGCAGAAGAAGCACCGGCUAACUCCGUGCCAGCAGCCGCGGUAAUUC